CAAUAGCGUAUGUCAAAGUUGUUGCGGUUGAAAAGCUCGUAGUUGGAUCUCGAUGCUGGGCUGGCGGUGCGCCCGUUGUGGCGUGUCUACUGCCAGUGCCGGCGAUAAAAAGAGGCCGGCAGAUAUAUUCCCUUGGUGCUCUUGACUGAGUGGCUUGGGUGGCCGGAACGUUUACUGUGAAAAAUUAGAGUGCUCAAGGCAGGCCUACGUGCCCGAAUACUGGUGCAUGGAAUAAUGGAAUAGGACUACGGUCUCUUUGUUGGUUUGAGGGACUGCAGUAAUGAUUAAUAGGGAUAGUUGGGGGCAUUAGUAUUUAAUUGUCAGAGGUGGAAUUCUCGGAUUUGUUAAAGACUAACUUAUGCGAAAGCAUUUGCCAAGGAUGUUUUCAUUAAUCAAGAACGAAAGUUAGGGGAUCAAAGAUGAUUAGAUACCAU
rnacentral:rRNA from 1 species